AACGGUCCUUCGGGACAGUGGCAGACGGGUGAGUAACGCGUGGGAAUCUACCUAGCUCUACGGAAUAGCUUCGGGAAACUGGAAUUAAUACCGUAUACGCCCUCCGGGGGAAAGAUUUAUCGGAGUUAGAUGAGCCCGCGUUAGAUUAGCUAGUUGGUGGGGUAAUGGCCUACCAAGGCGACGAUCUAUAGCUGGUCUGAGAGGAUGAUCAGCCACACUGGGACUGAGACACGGCCCAGACUCCUACGGGAGGCAGCAGUGGGGAAUAUUGGACAAUGGGCGAAAGCCUGAUCCAGCCAUGCCGCGUGUGUGAUGAAGGCCUUAGGGUUGUAAAGCACUUUCAACGGGGAAGAUAAUGACGGUACCCGUAGAAGAAGCCCCGGCUAACUUCGUGCCAGCAGCCGCGGUAAUACGAAGGGGGCUAGCGUUGUUCGGAAUUACUGGGCGUAAAGCGCGCGUAGGCGGAUUGAUCAGUUAGGGGUGAAAUCCCAAGGCUCAACCUUGGAACUGCCUCUAAUACUGUCAGUCUAGAGUUCUAGAGAGGUGAGUGGAAUUCCGAGUGUAGAGGUGAAAUUCGUAGAUAUUCGGAGGAACACCAGUGGCGAAGGCGGCUCACUGGCUAGAUACUGACGCUGAGGUGCGAAAGUGUGG
rnacentral:rRNA from 1 species